ACACGUGGGUAACCUGCCUGUAAGACUGGGAUAACUCCGGGAAACCGGGGCUAAUACCGGAUGGUUGUCUGAACCGCAUGGUUCAGACAUAAAAGGUGGCUUCGGCUACCACUUACAGAUGGACCCGCGGCGCAUUAGCUAGUUGGUGAGGUAACGGCUCACCAAGGCGACGAUGCGUAGCCGACCUGAGAGGGUGAUCGGCCACACUGGGACUGAGACACGGCCCAGACUCCUACGGGAGGCAGCAGUAGGGAAUCUUCCGCAAUGGACGAAAGUCUGACGGAGCAACGCCGCGUGAGUGAUGAAGGUUUUCGGAUCGUAAAGCUCUGUUGUUAGGGAAGAACAAGUGCCGUUCAAAUAGGGCGGCACCUUGACGGUACCUAACCAGAAAGCCACGGCUAACUACGUGCCAGCAGCCGCGGUAAUACGUAGGUGGCAAGCGUUGUCCGGAAUUAUUGGGCGUAAAGGGCUCGCAGGCGGUUUCUUAAGUCUGAUGUGAAAGCCCCCGGCUCAACCGGGGAGGGUCAUUGGAAACUGGGGAACUUGAGUGCAGAAGAGGAGAGUGGAAUUCCACGUGUAGCGGUGAAAUGCGUAGAGAUGUGGAGGAACACCAGUGGCGAAGGCGACUCUCUGGUCUGUAACUGACGCUGAGGAGCGAAAGCGUGGGGAGCGAAACAGGAUUAGAUACCCUGGUAGUCCACGCCGUAAACGAUGAGUGCUAAGUGUUAGGGGGUUUCCGCCCCUUAGUGCUGCAGCUAACGCAUUAAGCACUCCGCCUGGGGAGUACGGUCGCAAGACUGAAACUCAAAGGAAUUGACGGGGGCCCGCACAAGCGGUGGAGCAUGUGGUUUAAUUCGAAGCAACGCGAAGAACCUUACCAGGUCUUGACAUCCUCUGACAAUCCUAGAGAUAGGACGUCCCCUUCGGGGGCAGAGUGACAGGUGGUGCAUGGUUGUCGUCAGCUCGUGUCGUGAGAUGUUGGGUUAAGUCCCGCAACGAGCGCAACCCUUGAUCUUAGUUGCCAGCAUUCAGUUGGGCACUCUAAGGUGACUGCCGGUGACAAACCGGAGGAAGGUGGGGAUGACGUCAAAUCAUCAUGCCCCUUAUGACCUGGGCUACACACGUGCUACAAUGGACAGAACAAAGGGCAGCGAAACCGCGAGGUUAAGCCAAUCCCACAAAUCUGUUCUCAGUUCGGAUCGCAGUCUGCAACUCGACUGCGUGAAGCUGGAAUCGCUAGUAAUCGCGGAUCAGCAUGCCGCGGUGA
rnacentral:rRNA from 1 species